rnacentral:rRNA from 1 species
UGGGGAAUAUUGCACAAUGGAGGGAACUCUGAUGCAGCAACGCCGCGUGCGGGAUGACGGCCUUCGGGUUGUAAACCGCUUUCAGCCAUGACGAAGCUUUUGUGACGGUAGUGGUAGAAGAAGCACCGGCUAACUACGUGCCAGCAGCCGCGGUGAUACGUAGGGUGCGAGCGUUGUCCGGAAUUAUUGGGCGUAAAGAGCUUGUAGGCGGUUUGUCGCGUCGAUAGUGUAAACACGCAGCUUAACUGUGUGCCUGCUGUCGAUACGGGCUGACUAGAGGAGGGUAGGGGAGAAUGGAAUUCCCGGUGGAGCGGUGGAAUGCGCAGAUAUCGGGGGGACCACCAGUGGCGAAGGCGGUUCUCUGAACCUUUCCUGACGCUGAGAAGCGAAAGCGUGGGUAGCAAACAGG